CACCAGACUCCUACGGGAGGCAGCAGUGGGGAAUAUUGCGCAAUGGGCGAAAGCCUGACGCAGCGACGCCGCGUGAGUGAAGAAGCGUUUCGGCGCGUAAAGCUCUGUCAGCGGGGAAGAAAGAAGACGGUACCCGACCAAGAAGCCCCGGCUAACUACGUGCCAGCAGCCGCGGUAAUACGUAGGGGGCGAGCGUUAUCCGGAAUUACUGGGUGUAAAGGGAGCGUAGACGGCGAAGUAAGCCUGAAGUGGAAGCCCGCGGCCCAACCGCGGAACUGCUUUGGGAACUGUUUAGCUGGAGUAUGGGAGGGGUAAGCGGAAUUCCUGGUGUAGCGGUGAAAUGCGUAGAUAUCAGGAGGAACACCGGUGGCGAAGGCGGCUUACUGGACCAUGACUGACGUUGAGGCUCGAAAGCGUGGGGAGCGAACAGGAUUAGAUACCCUAGUA
rnacentral:rRNA from 1 species